CAUGGGUGGGAUAAAAACAAACCAAACAAAAAAAGAAAAGGGUUUUUUCCUCGUUCAGUACGUUGAACGCCGAUAAUGGAUGCGAAUGUACGUUUAGUUCCCCCAGUUGAUAAUAGUUACGCAACUGCUAGUGAAAUAAUUCGGAAAUUUAUGGAUUAGCAGAGAAGGGGUCACGUGUUGAUGCGGUAGGGUUUGCGCAUAGCGCCCUCAGCAAGCAACUAGAGUCUAUGGACUGCCUAAAUAUUUUACCCACCGGCAUCUGAUGGUGACAAACUGAAUUGCCUUAACUGGGUCUUGCAUCUGAAGCAACAAU